UACGUAGGGGGCGAGCGUUUGUCCGGAGUUACUGGGCGUAAAGCGCACGCAGGCGGUCUGCUAAGUUUGGAGUGACAGUUGGUGGCUUAACUGCCAAAGUGCUUCGAAAACUGAGAGACUUGAGGGCUUCAGAGGGACACGGAAUUCCGGGUGGAGUGGUGAAAUGCGUAGAGAUCCGGAGGAACACCAAAGGCGAAGGCAGUGUCCUGGGGAGUACCUGACGCUCAGGUGCGAAAGCCAGGGGAGCGAACGGG
rnacentral:rRNA from 1 species